rnacentral:rRNA from 1 species
UACGGGGGGGGCAAGCGUUGUUCGGAAUUACUGGGCGUAAAGCGCGUGUAGGCUGUUCGGAAAGUCGGGUGUGAAAGCCCUGGGCUCAACCUAGGAAGUGCACUCGAAACUCCCGAACUGGAGUCCCGGAGAGGAAGGCGGAAUUCUCGGUGUAGAGGUGAAAUUCGUAGAUAUCGAGAGGAACAUCGGUGGCGAAAGGCGGCCUUCUGGACGGUGACUGACGCUGAGACGCGAAAGCGUGGGGAGCAAACAGG